CUGCAGAGAACACUGUAAUGUCACAUGAGGCUUGUUAUCUGCUGAAUAGAACAUUGCAAUUUGAUUAUUACUGGCUGCCUAAAUAGAACACUGUGAUGUCACAUGAGUCUUGUUACCUGGCUGCAUAGAACACUGUGAUGUCACAUGAGGCUUGUUACCUGGCUGCAUAGAACACUGUGAUGUUACAUGAGGCUUGUUAUCUGACUGCAUAGAACACAG